UGAGUGUCAGGCCACACCCGCCCGCACGAAGCGAGGCGUUUGUUAGGCUCCAUAAUUCCACACGAUCCGUACUGAUCUGAUCCAGAGUGUUAACACAUACUGCUGCAGACCUGCAGUGCUUCCUUGAUCUUCUUCCCCUACCCAACAACCACUCCGCUUUACCCAACCUCGACGCACUUUUCUCCCAGAGUCCUCCGACGACCUCCAUCGAUCCGCUCCACUGGACUGCCCCUGGCGCAUUCGGACUCUGGAUUCAUCCCCUGGUGCCGUUGGUGAGCAGAUCGAACUUGAUUGAGGGAGUGGAGCAAGAUGGUGAAAUGAUUGCUGUGAAGAAAAUUGUGUCGUCAUUUAGGCCAGGCCUACAGAAGCAAUUCGAGAAUGACGUUUAUCAUCUUAUGAUGCUUAAGCACCCCAAUAUAGUGCAGUUUGUAGGCUACUGCUAUGAAACACAUAAUUCGCGCUUAGAGUGUGACGGAAGAUAUGUUUUCACGGAAAUGGCGGAAAGGUUACUUUGCUUGGAGUAUCUGCCCAAGGAAGCCUGGAUAAUUAUCUAUCAGACCCUUACAAAAUAGAGAAAUGUGCUACAUAGAUCACUGGGACAUCGAUCCCUAGAAACAGACCCUGGACCAAAUAAAGAGAUGGAUGCAUGUUGGUCUAAUCUGUGUGAAUCCCGAUCGCACCAAGAGGCCUCAGAUAACAGAGGUUAUCAGUAUGCUUGAAGAAGUAGAAAGUACUCUCUCCAUCCUAAAAUAAGUGUAAUAACUUUACUAUAACUUUAGCACAAAGUUGUACGGAAGUUAAGACACUUAUUUUUAAACAUUAGCAACGAGGCAACGUAUACAACA